CUAUGGCUCAGGAUGAACGCUAGCUACAGGCUUAACACAUGCAAGUCGAGGGGCAGCAUUGGAGUAGCAAUACUUCAGAUGGCGACCGGCGCACGGGUGAGUAACACGUAUCCAACCUGCCGCUUACUCGGGGAUAGCCUUUCGAAAGAAAGAUUAAUACCCGAUGGUAUAAAGAGUUCGCAUGUUCUCUUUAUUAAAGAAUUUCGGUAAGCGAUGGGGAUGCGUUCCAUUAGAUUGUUGGCGGGGUAACGGCCCACCAAGUCUACGAUGAAUAGGGGUUCUGAGAGGAAGGUCCCCCACAUUGGAACUGAGACACGGUCCAAACUCCUACGGGAGGCAGCAGUGAGGAAUAUUGGUCAAUGGACGAGAGUCUGAACCAGCCAAGUAGCGUGAAGGAUGACUGCCCUAUGGGUUGUAAACUUCUUUUAUAAGGGAAUAAAGUGAGGGACGUGUCCCUUUUUGUAUGUACCUUAUGAAUAAGGAUCGGCUAACUCCGUGCCAGCAGCUGC
rnacentral:rRNA from 1 species